rnacentral:lncRNA from 10 species
UUUUUUUUUUUUUCUUUGAAGAGACAGGGUCUCACUCAGUCACCAGGCAGGAGUGCAGCAGUGCCAUCACAGCUCACUGCAGCUUUGAAUUCCUGGCUCAAGCGAUCCUCCAACCUCAGCCAUAGGCAUGCACCACCAUGCUAGGCCUUUUAGUAGAGACAGGAUCUCACCAUGUUGCUCAGGCUGGUCUCCAACCCCUGGGCUCAAGUGAUCCUCCUGCCUUGGCCUCCCAAAGUGGGAGGAUUACAAGUGUUAUCCACCAUGCUGGACAGGAAUAUUUUUAAAUAAUGAAACCAAGUUCCUUUCGCUUUGUAAGUUAAUGCAUGUAUUGAUGGUGAGUAGAGAACAAUGACACAAUCUCUAGAGAGACAUAGGUGUUUGGCCUGGCUCAAUCACUAGCCUUAUAGUCUCACAGGAAAAUAUGAACUUCAUCAAAAUAGCUAAUUAUUACCACAUCAUGGAUCUUUAUGGUCAUUUUCAAAUAGACAAAAUUACAAAGUUCAAUAUAUAAAUGCCAUUGGCCUAAUAUCCCAUUUUAUAGGAUUAACUAUUUUUCAAGGAGUCAUGAACACAAUUUCAAAUUCUCCAUUCAGA